rnacentral:rRNA from 1 species
GAGUUUGAACCUGGCUCAGGAUGAACGCUGGCGGCGUGCCUAAUACAUGCAAGUCGAGCGAACCACUUCGGUGGUGAGCGGCGAACGGGUGAGUAACACGUAGGUGAUCUGCCCAUCAGACGGGGACAACGAUUGGAAACGAUCGCUAAUACCGGAUAGGACGAAAGUUUAAAGGUGCUUCUGGCACCGCUGAUGGAUGAGCCUGCGGCGCAUUAGCUAGUUGGUAGGGUAAAGGCCUACCAAGGCGACGAUGCGUAGCCGACCUGAGAGGGUGAACGGCCACACUGGGACUGAGACACGGCCCAGACUCCUACGGGAGGCAGCAGUAGGGAAUCUUCGGCAAUGGGCGAAAGCCUGACCGAGCAACGCCGCGUGAAUGAUGAAGGCCUUCGGGUUGUAAAAUUCUGUUAUAAGGGAAUAACGACUUUAGUAGGAAAUGGCUAGAGUGUGACGGUACCUUAUGAGAAAGCCACGGCUAACUACGUGCCAGCAGCCGCGGUAAUACGUAGGUGGCGAGCGUUAUCCGGAAUUAUUGGGCGUAAAGAGCGCGCAGGUGGUUGAUUAAGUCUGAUGUGAAAGCCCACGGCUUAACCGUGGAGGGUCAUUGGAAACUGGUCGACUUGAGUGCAGAAGA